rnacentral:lncRNA from 1 species
UUUUAUUAUAUUACCGUUUAAAAACCGGUUGUACCAGUUGCAUGCAUGCGCUGUAUGAGAUAUAGCGUUGCAUGCUAGGUUGACUCGGUGUUAAGUUGCAUUAUAAUGUAUUGCAAUUAUCAUUGGUAUUGAGGAUAAUAUCGAAAAUCCUGGAAUCCAUGCCAAUAAUUGUAAGUGAACAAAAUGAUAACAAGCGCUGAUAGAAACAGAGUAAUUGAUGUUAUACUUUUUUAAAUUAAGUGAAAAAAUUGGUACUAAAUUUAUCUGGUUUCUACUAGCAUUUUCUUUUUUUCGGGUAAUAUUCAAACGGAUUGUGGGUGGAUAUCUUGGAUAUCCGGAUCCGCAAAAAUUAAAAUUCAAUAAUUUAAAAUACAAUUUAAAAUUCCACAAUUUAUCUAAUAAUAUCAAAUAAAAUCCAAUCAUAAUUCAACAAUCAACAAUUUAAUACCUAGAAUAACAUAGAACACCAUGAAGUCACAAAUAAAAAUACCACAACAUAGAUCAAACAUUAAGAAUAACAUAAAUUCAAGUCUAUCAUCACCACAAAUCCACAAAUAAAAUUAUAAAAACAAAACAAAUCCACAUAAAAUAAUGUGGAUCCCAAUAUAUUUCUUAAUUUAA